rnacentral:rRNA from 1 species
UACAGAGGUCCCAAGCGUUGUUCGGAUUCACUGGGCGUAAAGGGUGCGUAGGCGGUCGGGUAAGUCUGAUGUGAAAUCUCCAAGCUCAACUUGGAAAUGGCAUCGGAUACUAUUCGGCUCGAGGAAUGGAGGGGAGACGUGGAAUACUUGGUGUAGCAGUGAAAUGACGUAGAUAUCAAGUGGAACACCAGUGGCGAAGGCGAGUCUCUGGACAUUUCCUGACACUGAGACACGAAGGCCAGGGGAGCAAACGGG